rnacentral:lncRNA from 1 species
AGAGGUCUGGAAUUCAAAUCCCAGCAUCCACAUGGUGGCUCACAACCAUCUGUAACGUGAUCUGAUGCCCUCUUCUGAUGUGUCUGAAGACAGCUAUGGUGUACUGAUGUACCUUAAAUAAAUAAAUCUUUUUUAAAAAUCAAUGAUGCCUAAGAUUUUAUAGCUCUGGAAAUGAGAAGAUAAUGAAGCAGUGUCUCAAACUUCUAACCCAGCAUUCUGUACCCAACUAAUAGAAUUCAGAAGAGAGUCCAACUGCCUUUUCAUACCUAUCAACAUCUGGUAUCUGUAGUCUGUACUGUGCCUAUCCUUGUGGGUGAACUGUCCUCUAUAACCAGUCAGUCUGAAUGUCCAUGGACUUCGUCCCACAAUGUAUUUCAAUAGUCAACAUCAAACAAAAAUAGACAAAAGUUCCUGAUUUCCUGAAGCUUGCAUUUGAGUAAAGGAGACCUUAAAUCAGAAUGUACACUACCUAUAAAGGCCCAGUAGCUACUGAGAAGUACCCAGGAAUGGAGAACAGAGGAGACAGUGGAGAGGAGUGAGGAAAGAGAUCAGGAUUUUCUCUGGCAUGAGAAACGCCUUUUGAGAAGGUGCUUCUUAGUGCCUCGUUCUGCCUCCAUGCCACCUUGAGGAAGUGCUCCAGCAGAGAAGCAAGAGCUUAGUUCUGCCCAGUCUUUGUUUCUCCUCUGCUUUCAAAAGUGCACACCAAAAUGAUACAGAGACUCCUAAACCAUAAUGACAAAACAUGGUCAGGGAGGUGUCUCCUAAGGUAAAGGCACUUGCUGCCAAGGCUGAUAACCUAAGGUCAGUCUUCAACACUCACGUGGUGGUGGUAGAAGGAAAGAACUUACUACUGCAAGUUGUUCUCCAACCUCCACAUGCACAUAUGCAUGCAUGCACACACAUAUAAAUGAAAAAAAAAGACAGAUUCCUGUGAAUCAUAUCCACUUCAUCCCACUUAUGUUCUUCCCUUUACACCUUUAAUAUUCUCCCCUUUAGAACAAAAUUCCUUGAAAAUCAUCUAUUUCCUGUCUAGUCUCUCUGCUCUUGUUCGUGCACCAUUUUACUGGAGUAGUUUUGAGUGAGCAGUUGACCUCAUUUUAGUAAAAUUAAAAUGAGUUAAUACUUGCAAAGUCUUAGGACAUGGUCUGCUAUGUAGUAUGUGUACGUGUUCAUAAAAUCAAUAAAUGCUUUAAUGAGAGGUCAAAUUUUAAUAUUUCAAAUCAAAACCAAAAAAAUGAUGACUUAGAAAUAAGAUUAAUUCUGUGUUGUGUGAUUGAGUUAAGGGUAAGGAGAAUCAUCAUUAAGCAGAAUCAUUGCUAAGGUUUCAAAUGUGUGUUAAUUUUACUUUUUUGUGGGUAGGGUUGUUUGGUUUUGUUUGUUUACAAAUGGUUGACUGCAGCUGAGAUCUGGGUUCUGUGGCUGGUGCUGAAACUACCCUCUUCUUGGGAGAUGGGAUUCUGCUCCCAGCCAGAAGGCAUGCAGUAGCAUCCAGGUUCUCUUCUGUAUGUGGAGUCUUUGAGGUUGAAGGAGCUGAGCAGACAGGAGUUGGGUUCAAGCCUUUGGUCCUCUCCAGAUUCAGCAUUUGAAUGAAGGUCUUGCCAUUGUUGCCUCUGACUUCAUCCAGCACAGCUUUUACUUACUCACUGAUGAGGCAGAUGUGAAGUCUGUUUUAGUCUGAGUUGUCCUGAGGACCCUCAUGGGAGAACCUGAUGUACCUAUAUUACCUCAACAAACCACGGUCUCUAGUUUGCCUGAUAAGAUAUAGCUUAAUGCUCUUCACAGCUAUUGAGGAUCUGAAAGAUAAAGGUUACUGAGCACUCCAGAGUGCAACUUCUGUAAUACAGACUAUCUGAAGACAAACCCAGCACUGCUUAGUUCAGAGUCAGAUAAUGUGUAUCCCAGGGUGUCCCGGUCAAUAACGUUGUGAUAUUCUGUAUAAGACAAAUGUAAGUUUUUGUUCUCUUUGCCCAGUUAAUGUUUAUUGAUUGUUUUCCUUUAUAAAUGAUAAAUAGGGAAGGCUUAGCUAAAUCUUGUUCUCUGAUUUCUUGGAACACAAGAAUCCUAUUUUUCUCCCAUAUUUUCACAUCCAAGUUUAACUCAUUGCUUUUUGGAAAUACUGUGGACAGCUAAUAUAUCAAAGAUAGGAACAUCUUAGAAAUUAUACCUUGUAAUACCAUCAUUACUCCACGUAUUUAGAAUUAUUUUAUAGAUUAGUCUGUUCAUUUGGGAAGGUGAAAAAAAAAAACUUGCUUGAAGUCAAUGUAAUAGAGAGAAAGAAAGAAAGAGACGGAGACACAAAAUAGAUCGUGAAGCUCUGUGUAGGAGGAAUUUUCUAGAAAAAAAAAGAAAUAGUCAGAAACUAUGGGUACAAGGGAAUCUCAGCCCCUUCAGAAUUCUUAUUUUGCCACCAGGUUCUAUUAUUUGGGACCAUUUUGUGUGGGAACCACCACUAGAACCAGAUAAUAGAAUAGGUUGCUAAGUGCAUCCACCCCACAAAGAAAAUUAGAAAACUCUUAUAAAAAGCCAAAAUGAUAAGAGCUGGUAGCCAAGGUGACUGGAUGAACUGGUUGUACUAAUCUAGAUGAAGAGUAAGCCAGGCUACAUAGCAAUUAGAGGGUUUGUAUAGCUCAGGGACUACUAGAGAAGGUCAGAGAUGAUAUCUCCAGAAUAAAUGUCUACAUCACCUUCAUGUAGACCCACACACUCAGUAUUUCGUAAAGCAAACCCUUGGCCUUUCUUAAGAUACUUUUACAUUAACCUUUCUGAGCCAUAUAUUCAGUGUAUGAAGUGCUAUGUAACAUACAUUCUUGUGCAUACUCAUAUGUCCACAGGUAUAUUUGCAUGUGUGUAUGUCUAUGGCAUCUGUGAUUAUCAUAUUCCCAUUAGUUUUUGUAACAACCCCAGGAGCAACUUGGUUUCAUUACCCUUUUGUACAUAAAAAUACUAACAACC